rnacentral:rRNA from 1 species
GUGGGGAAUAUUGGACAAUGGGCGAAAGCCUGAUCCAGCCAUGCCGCGUGUGUGAAGAAGGUCUUCGGAUUGUAAAGCACUUUAAGUUGGGAGGAAGGGCAGUAAGUUAAUACCUUGCUGUUUUGACGUUACCGACAGAAUAAGCACCGGCUAACUUCGUGCCAGCAGCCGCGGUAAUACGAAGGGUGCAAGCGUUAAUCGGAAUUACUGGGCGUAAAGCGCGCGUAGGUGGUUUUGUAAGUUGGAGGUGAAAUCCCCGGGCUCAACCUGGGAACUGCCUCCAAAACUGAAUGACUAGAGUACGGUAGAGGGUAGUGGAAUUUCCUGUGUAGCGGUGAAAUGCGUAGAUAUAGGAAGGAACACCAGUGGCGAAGGCGACUACCUGGACUGAUACUGACACUGAGGUGCGAAAGCGUGGGGAGCAAACAGGAUUAGAAACCCCGGUAGUAC